GAUGAACGCUGGCGGCGUGCCUAAUACAUGCAAGUCGAGCGAAUGGAUUAAGAGCUUGCUCUUAUGAAGUUAGCGGCGGACGGGUGAGUAACACGUGGGUAACCUGCCCAUAAGACUGGGAUAACUCCGGGAAACCGGGGCUAAUACCGGAUAACAUUUUGAAACGCAUGGUUCGAAAUUGAAAGGCGGCUUCGGCUGUCACUUAUGGAUGGACCCGCGUCGCAUUAGGUAGUUGGUGAGGUAACGGCUCACCAAGGGAACGAUGCGUAGCCGACCUGGGAGGGUGAUCGGCCACACUGGGACGGAGACAAGGCCCAGACUCCUACGGGAGGCAGCAGUAGGGAAUCUUCCGCAAUGGACGAAAGUCUGACGGAGCAACGCCGCGUGAGUGAUGAAGGCUUUCGGGUCGUAAAACUCUGUUGUUAGGGAAGAACAAGUGCUAGUUGAAUAAGCUGGCACCUUGACGGUACCUAACCAGAAAGCCACGGCUAACUACGUGCCAGCCGCCGCGGUAA
rnacentral:rRNA from 1 species